GGGGAAUUUUCCGCAAUGGGCGAAAGCCUGACGGAGCAAUACCGCGUGGGGGAUGAAAGCCUAUGGGUUGUAAACUCCUUUUCUCAGAGAAGAAAUUUUGACGGUAUCUGAGGAAUAAGCAUCGGCUAACUCCGUGCCAGCAGCCGCGGUAAGACGGGGGAUGCAAGUGUUAUCCGGAAUAAUUGGGCGUAAAGCGUCUGUAGGUGGUUUACCAAGUCUGUUGUUAAAACUCAGGGCUUAACCCUGAUCCGGCAACAGAAACUAGUAAGCUUGAGUACGGUAGGGGCAGAGGGAAUUCUCGGUGUAGUGGUGAAAUACGUAGAUAUCGAGAAGAACACCGACAGCGAAAGCACUCUGCUGGGCCGAAACUGACAUUGAGAGACGAAAGCUAGGGGAGCGAAAGGGAUUAGAUACCCCAGUAGUC
rnacentral:rRNA from 1 species